rnacentral:tRNA from 1 species
GCGGCCGCAGUCUAGCCUGGCUAGGACGCGGGCCUGCCGAGCCCGUGGCCCGGGUUCAAAUCCCGGCGGCCGCACCA